rnacentral:lncRNA from 1 species
GUCAGUCUCUCAGUCUGGAGGUUUUUUACAAGUGCAGGGCUGAGAGGCAGCAGGCAGGUGUGGGGGAAGCAGUUGGCAUGUUUUCAUCUUGCAAACCUGCAGAUGCCCUAUACCAGAAGCAGUCAAAUGCCAUACAUAACUCCAUAUCUGUAUCAGCAGAUCCACCCCUUUUUCUUUUUCAGUUUGUAGCACUGCGCAGAAUGUCCCUGUGUCUAACAAGCAGAGGAAGCUCUUUGUUCUCAGUGGGAGAUGGAGCAAUUUGUGUCUCUCGAAAUGCUCAUCAAAAGGAAAAAUGGAAAUUUUGUGCCCAGUAUUUCAGUUUCCAGUUCAUACAUUUUACCUUUUUAGAGAAAUAAGUGGAAAUGACUGGCUGCAAUGCAAUUAAAAUCUUCUUUGUUAGGAUCUAUGAUUGCAACGCUUUCAAACAUUUGGCUCCCUGGCAGUCAGGCGUGAGCAGUCAGGGGGGUAACUCCUCCAGUCAGAACCACACAGGGACACUCUUAUCUUCACACUAGAGGUGGGAUUUAUGGCUUUCUGAAGGGAGCUGGAUCUUGAGGACUGUUCCUUUGAAAAAGACAUUCAAAAGACGGACUUGUUGUUAUAUUUGUUUAUUUUUUAGAGGUCAACCAGGGGUAAGUCUUAUAGAGACUUGUAUCAUUGUCACUUGUAGCAGUUAUGAGAUACGGUAUGGAUCAGAAUUUCAAAUUUACAAUACCCACCAAUACAUACUCUAUUAUUGGGAAUUAUUCAAAAAUAUUGAUUAUAAUUUCAUUUGGCUUGUGUUUUUAAAGUAAAUGUUCCAUAAGUUAGUGCCAUACUCCUACGCUUUGACAGUGAGAUCACUAUUUUGAAUUUUUCCCUCACCUGAAAACUUUGUGGCACAAUAACAACUAUGCAGGCUACAGUGAGACAUGUUUGUUUUUUGUGGCAGGAAUGGUUUUUCUGGAAGAGGAAGGACCCAGGGCAGAUAAUGAUGUGGGCCAAGUGGUGUCUGAGGGAGGGUCAGGUGAUGCUGGUGCCAAAGAGAGAAUGAAAGUAGCCUGAUGUUGAGGCAGAACCUGCGGAAUCAGUGAUGUCAUCUGCAUUAGCGCCGGAGUCAGUCCCUUUUUUUCUGACAUCUGACACUAUUACUGCCGGGUGCUGAGUUUUUAUUUUGCCAUGUAAGUUGUUUGUUGACCCGGACUUGAAAGAGAUGUUUUUUCUGGCAAAUAUUGCAUUGUGCUCUACCUUGCGUGUUGUCCCUAAAAAAGGGCACUUAAAUGAUGCUGGGUUUUUGUGUUCUCUUUUUCAGUCGCUCCUAGCUGCUCCUCCUCUCCACUGCAGUAAAUGUGGCUCUAGUCUCCAGUCAAUCGGAAUCAGGCGGCAAGGCCAAUCUGCACAUAAGAACGGCUCACAAAUGAACAGCUUGAGUUCUGGUGUUUAUCAUUCACUUAAAAGAGCUGUUCAAUUGACUGACUCCUCAGAUCUUUACUUCACACCUGACCCACAGACAAAACUGUCUUUAUGAUGACUCCAAACUUCAGCCACAAGUUUGAAAUAGCCUGUUUGUCUCCUCAAGUUAUGAAUAAGUGCUCUCUACCUUUACUUUUUCUGUUCACUGCUGGCCAUACAGCAACAAUAUUCAUUACAUUUUAUUUCCUCUCUCACUUUAUAUAAUUUAUUCUGCUUUUAAGUGCAUUUUGUUUAUUAUUGUAUAUUCUAUUGUUUCUCCUGGCCCCUCCAGAGCAUAAUGAAAUGUGUCUGUUUUUGUAACCUGCCUCGACUGAGAUUUAAAACCACAACAACAUUCACUUCUUUCUACUUUGUUCCCUUUUUUCUUGUUGAAUUAUCAGGACGAAACAAAUCAAUUUAGAGUUUCUAGAAAAGUAUUGUGAAAUGUUCCCAAAAGGAUCAUUUACCCUAAAAGACAACCAGACUCAAGUCAUAUGGGGAUAUCAGCUCCGUCUGGGCCAGUGCACAUCAAAGAUUUUCCAGCUCAUAAAAAUUAGAUGAACCCUAUAUCCUGAGGGUCUUUGUGUGAAUGUACACUGCAGUACCAAGACUCCUCUGUCCUCCUCUGUUUGUCUUUACAGUUGUUUGACUGCUGCACAAUGUACAACUUUCGUUUGCACACAAAUCCCAUUUAUUAGAGACAUUUAUUAGUGAGAAGCUUGGGACUGAGUGUACUGAGCUGAAUUCAUGUAGAAUGAAAAGGAGUUCUUACACAGCCAGGAGACAGAAGCAGACCAGACUCAGAACAUACUUUCCUGUCAGCACAACACAUGACCAACAAGAUCAUCCACUGACAUUAAGGUCUCCUGGGUGAGAACAUUAAGUUUCUCUGUGCACAAAGACAUGUGGAUCAGACCACAGCAGUUUGAAGACACUGUUCACCAGCAGUCGGGUGCGUUGAUGGAAACACAUCCAACUUGUUAAGUUAUUUGAAGGGUCACCACACGGAGGUAAACAUGACUGCCAUGAGGAACAAAAAACCCUUUUGACAGCCUCUGACUAUCAAAGGUUUAUUUAGGAUUUUCUUCAUCAUUCGUGAAGACACUAAUGACCCCAUGUUUUGUAGCUGUUUAUGACAUAAGUAUGUUUCCUAAUUUUCACUUUUUUACAGUACCAUCAGGACUUUCAUGUGCUGUUAUGAUUAUUCAUGGAUUGUGUGGUAGGAGUGACUCCAAGUGCUCUUUUAAAGUUUUUUUUUUAUGUCUUUUAUUUUUCAGUUUAUGAGUCAGAUCAUCUUUGAUUUCACUGUGAAGUCAAGGACAAAUUCAGCAGAGAUCAUCUCAGCCUGUAAUGUAAUCCAAUAGUAAUUUGUGAGCAUUUCACUCCUUUUUCAGUGUUUUUUGAGAAAAUGACCCUGUGGUAGGGCUGUUCGUUGAAGCUGUUCAUGGUGAUGAAGCUGUUCAUUGUGACUGGUUGGUAUGAACUAACUGUCACCUUGUCACUUUUGUCAGUUCUGGGUGUAAAAGUAUGACCAAUAACAAAACAUUAAAUAUAAGUCAAAAUUAACUCUUAAAAUAACAGCAAGUUGGAAAAAGGUUGAAAAUAUGCUUUAGUUCACAGAUUUUAUAAAAAGCAGCGUGGACUGUUCUCCUAAAAAGACUGAAGAUCUAUUAUCAGACUAUUGGCACAACAGUAAUGAGGCUAACUCUGAUACCAUGACGCUGUCAUGCUAACUGUCCAUGAAAAAGUGUAAGAUUGACCAGGUUUCUUAUCUCAACUGUGCCAAAAUGAAGUAAAACUAUACUACUAGGAGGUUAUUAGACUUUGAGGAAACAGGUCAUUCAUCAGAUAAUUGACCAGAUCACAAUUCUUACUUCGUUGUUGAAAUUAUUAAAAAAAUGUCAAACUCAGGGAGUGUCAGGCAGUCACUAAAAAAACCAAGAGUCAUCCUCUAGAGAGAAAAUGAUCCCUGCAAGCAUUACAACCUUCAGUUGUUAUUCAUUAAAUCAAUUUUCUGAUUGGGACAAAUGUAUGACAGCAUUUUUGGUGCUAAAGGUUUGUGUAUCUGUAACGUGAUUUGUAGUUGUGUACAGUAAAUGUGUAUGUGUAUUAG